rnacentral:rRNA from 1 species
UGGCUCAUUACAACAGCCGUCGUUUCUUGGAUCUCUUCUUUUACUUGGAUAACUGUGGUAAUUCUAGAGCUAAUACACGCACUAAAGCUCUGACCUUACGGGACGAGCGCAUUUAUUAGAACAAAACCAAUCGGGUUUCGGCCCGUCUGUUGGUGACUCUGAAUAACUCUGCCGAUCGCACGGUCUCGCACCGGCGACGUAUCUUUCAAGUGU